AUGAAGAAACACCAGUGGACACACUCAGUGGACACACUCAGUGGACACAUCAAUGGACACAUUAUGAAGAAACACCAGUGGACACACCAAUGGACAGAUUAUGAGGACACACCAGUGGACACACACUCAGCUGUCAGAGGACACACCAGUGGACACACGCCUGUCCAGAUGUUUAUAAAAGCCCUGUUGUACUUGACCUCCACCUCCUCCAGGGCUGCCCUCUCGUCUAAUUCUCCUGCUAAUGAGACACAUGGAAAUCGAAAUGAUUUAAGGCCGCGUUUAUUCUUCACUCUGAUGCUCCUCGUUUUGUCUUCCCUCGAAGGCGUGGAUUUGUAUUUGUCUGGGCCACACGAGGCUGGAAGGAAUCGACGGCAGCUCAUCUGUUUUGCAGUGUUUUCACAAAGCUUCGGAGGCAGAGGUUUGUGGCACGGAAUCAGGCCGGAAAAUUCGGGGUACUUCUGUGCAGGGUUAGAGAGCCGAGGUUCAAAGCACUGAGGCAGGGACACCGCGUAUUGAUGUGUGUCUCUAUAUAUAACCAUCUCGUUGGCCGCUUCGUACAACGGGGCUCCCCGGCCGCCUGUGUGAGCGAGGCAGGGCUCGGGCGGCGCUUUUCCAGCACUGGGCUUCUGCUCGGUCCUGCGGUUUCGAAACAGGAUGGGCGGGUGCGCUGGGUGCUGUAGCUUCGCUUCAAGACGUUCAGCUUUGUGUUACCAGGAGGAGGGGAGGGGAGGGGGUUGGGUGGAGGGGUGCUUAAGCAAGUACCAUGACAUCCCAGGACCGCGAGGUAAGAAAAUACGUUCAAUAUCAAAUAGGUCCAACAAGAAAAGCACACCAGGACAAGUUGUCGUCUGCUCACGCAGACAGGCAAACGGCAGAUUGGAUUAAAUUUCACUUCUUUCGAUUGAUAUCUAUUGUUCCACACUCAUUGGUGUCAAAAUCGGUCACGUAUUGGUAGGUUCAUUAGCUGUGCUGUGCCCAACCCGUAGAUCCUCCCUCUGUUUCGGCUGUGAGCCGGCUGCGGGUCGGCUUGUUUCUGUUCGUAAAGACCCGGCGAACAGGCCGAGCCCCGCCCUGGACCCACUGGAGACCCCAGCAUCGGACACAGCGCUGGGGGAAACAGGGACGUGGGUCUUGUGUUCAGAGGAAGAAACAUUGUCACAGCUGAUUCAACUCUUUGCCGAAGGUUCUCGGCUUUGAUGAAGAUAGGGAUGACCUUGUUGGGUCGCCCAUUGAUGUUUUUCAAAGAAUUAUUGGUUUAUUAUUAUUUUAACCCAGCCUGAAGGCUGGAAUCUCUGACGUGCCUUUCCGAGCCCCUUAUUAAUGAACUCAUUGAUCAGUCUAAUGAUGAAAUGUAGUCCCUUUCCAGCUGUUAAUAGGUGUGUAACUCAAACUGAGGAGCACAUCGGGAGCAGCUGAGCAGCAGAGGAGGUCUGUCUGUCCUAGAGAGGGACUACUCUGCUGCUAUAGGCCGUGGGAACUUUUGAUUUAGGAAGUUUCAUUUGCAUUAAACAGAGGACAGGGACUCCGGUGCGAUCUCAUGGCUGGGCGGUCUCGCACAAGUGCCGCUGCCGUACCCCGCUUAAGAGAGGGAUUUCAGCAAACUGCUGACUCUCUAAAGGCUGACAGUUAGACUGCAGGCGCUGGUCUCCUCUCAACGUGUGCGCCUGCUGCACGAGUCAAAGAGCGAGCUCUGGAGGGCAGCUCCAGCCCGCGCAGGCCUGUCCCCGCCCCCGCCCGCCCGCCUGCAGAAAGGCCCGGCCACUCUGGGGACUCGCCGACCGCACCAGGCCGGGGAGAGAUCGCCGAGAGCCGGGAGACGUUGAAAACGGCGGGGUGACCGGGCCUGGCCUGACAGCCGUGAGCUAGCCUGGACUAGCUCAAGGUGCAGCACUGAGAGCUGGAUUGUCUCAAUACGAUGGUAAGUGUUACAGAGUAAUUGCUAUGCCCGGUAACUGACGUGCACGCUACCUACAGGAUAGGGUAUCACGGAAGGCGGCCUACAGAGUGGCGGAGAACACUUUCCAAGGCACUGGAUAGAUGCAUCUUAUUUACUUAGAACUCAGUCCCCCGUGGUUCUACGCAAUCCGCCUCCUUAUGGGAACCCGCUGGGCCGUCUACGCGUUUCUCACUUCCUGGCUCUGGUUUCCGCGCCAGCCCGCGAUCGUGCGAAUGACGAGGUGCGUUCUGGAGCGCGGGGAGAGAUUCGGGGUGUGUGUGUGUGGCGGUGGGGGGUGGAGAGAGGUGAUUUUCUCGUCCUCCGUCGCGUCGAGGGGGAACUUGCGCUCCACCGGUGGCAUCCCAGCAGCCGCUCUGGAAAACGCGGGAUCAGACUACGUCUCGGAAACUUCAGCACCAAGUCGCCGAGGACCGUGAAAAGCAGGGCUAUGCUCUCCAGCAAUGAAGACACGGUUGCGUUUAUGAAUGUAAAUUCUUCUCGACUUGUGGUAUCGAAGAGGCUGUCUUUAGGAGGUUUUUAUUUUCUCUUUCUUUGCACACAGGAUCCUGCAAUGCAACAGCAGGCCGGACUCGUCUCAUUUUUUUUGUGCAGCCGAGCGCAUUUAUCACAAGCCCUCAAAUUAUCAGACUCACACCAUCUCUUGAGCUCUCAUGCGCUAAGUCUAAACCGGAGGUGUGAAGUCAAUCUGAGUUUUAGCCCUGCAGCACAUCUUUUUUUUUUUAGCUUCUCGCUCCUUUGAAAUUACUUUGCUAAACAAUUCAGAGAUAUUUAGCCAUUAGCGUCCACAAAAGUACUUAAAGAACAAAUUACUUAUAAAUAGCGGAGUAAGGCCCCUUUCCUGCUGUUGUUAAGAGCAAUAGAAAAGAAUCCCUCAAAACACUUGAUCAAUGUAUUAAAGGUGUAAUUACUUAUUAGUCAUAACAUAAUUAAAUUGUCACUACAACCAGUUCUGAAGGCAGUUUCUGCAAUCAGUAAUUGCCUUUCAUUGCUUCACUGUUAAAACUAAGUGCAGUUCCUAUGUCCCUGAUUCUGGAUUCUUUUUGGAUUUUGUGAAGGCGGUAUACAUUAGAUUAACAACAUCGGUUAUAAAAUAAACGCCAAGGUAUCACGUAAAAACAAAGAUGUGCAUAUCAUCUGAAGCUUAAGAUUUGUUUAACUUUUCCACACCAGGGUUUAUGGUGAGAGAAAUGUGUCACAGCCGACUACCUGCAUUUAAUUAGAGAAAAGGUAUUGCUAGUAUUAUUAGAAUUCUUGCUAUUAUUAUCAUUAACAUGCACAAAAAGUACUUACAGAACAAAUUAUAAAAAACAGGCAGCAUGGUGGGGCAGAGGGUAGGAUUGCUGGGACCCAGGGUUAAAUUCCUGGGGUGCUGUCUGUGUGGAGUUUGUAUGUUCUCUCUGCGUUUGCCUGGGUUUUCCCCAGAUGCUGUGUUUUCCUCCCACAAUCCCACAAAAGUGUACUGGUAGGUUAAUUCGCUCCUGGGGAAAGCUGGCAAAGGUGGGAGUGUGACUGUGUGGGCCCUACCAUGGACUGGCGUCCCAUCCAGGGCGUACCCUGCCUUACACAUGUUGCUUGCUGGGAUAGGCCCCAGCUCCACUGCAACACUGACUUGGAAGAAGCGGUCAGAAAAUGGAUGGAUUAUUAUGAAUCAAAAGAAAUAUCUAUCAGUGUUGAAAUCAAGUUUCAUUAAUGAGUUAGCUGAGUAGUUUUGGCUAUUCUUAACAGGUGUUUCUUCAUAAAGGAAGCUGCACUUCGAUAUUCAUUUGUGCAACUUGAAGGACACCAUUGCAUUUGUUUACAUUUUUAGAGAUGGAGAUGUUGGAAAUUAUUAUUUUAAUUAAUAGAAUUUGUAUUGUAGAUGGGCAUCACAAUGGCUUGGCAGUGGUGCUUAGAGCUUCCGAGUCUUGGGCUUGAUUCUGGGCAGGGGGAACCUUCUGUGUGGAGUCUGCAUGCUCUCCUUGUGUGCUUCCUUCCUCUCAGGGACCAGUAGGUUCAGGGCAACGUGGCUGGUUAACAAGGCCUGUAGGCUGACUGGCUGAGCUCAAUGACCUCUUGCCUGUGAGCUCAUUCCUCACAGCAGUGGGGAUACGAUUAAAUAAAAAAGGACAAAGUGGAGUUUAUCCAUGGUACAGAGAUUUGUAUCUGUGUACACAAGAAAACUAAAGACAGCCUGUUUGCUGCUGGAUCCAUCAGUAAUUAACAGGAGUCACCUGAAAGGUGUUUAACAAGCCAACACUUUAGUCUCAGGAGUGUCAGCUCAGUGCACAGGGCUUUGACGUUAGGCGAAAAAUAAAAUGAACUUUUGGUUUUCAAAAUAGAACACAGUACAAAAAAAAACAUCAAAGAGCUGGAGCUUCUUUUUGCAUCGUGUUCUAAUACAAUUUGCAUGCUAAACAGAAACAAAAAGGACAGGGAGGGGGGCUCAAUACACAUGUUUUGAAGAUUAAAAAAAAGGGUGUCACAGCCGAGUUUUAAGAGUGCAGACUCGAACCAGCUCUUUCAUGAAAACCUCAUCUUCACGGGACUACAGCAAAGGAUCGCAGCAAGGCGAUUCACGCUUGGUAGCUAAUAAUAAUAAUAAUAAUAAUAAUAAUAUUUGCUUACACUUACAUAGUGCUUUUCUGGACACUCCACUCAAAGCGCUUUACAGGUAAUGGGGAUCCCCUCCACCACCACCAGUGUGCAGCCCCACCUGGAUGCCCAGCUAAGGGUAAUUGACUGGAGCUGCCAGAACUAAGACCUGUGAGCAGCACAUCGAUAACCCUGAUGACUAUUUUUUUAUUCCAUUGCAAUUUUGCAGUAGCCAAGAUAUCCUGCUGAAUAACAUUAGACAGAAACAGCGUCUCCCCUGCCUCUCUGGGUGCACCACCCCGGCCUGGGGCCUGUUCGUUUCAGUGCAGGGCUGCGUGAGGAGUGUAAAAGGAACUGAAAAUGUCCCUUUACGGGGGCAGGCUUGUGCACACGCUCCUGUGGCGCUCAGGCGGAGACGUUUGACACAGAUCAGCAUCCCUUCACCUCCCAGGGACUUCCCAGCUUCUUCCUGUAACACCCAGUGAGGUACGGACCUGCACGGUAUGGAUCGGAGCUGAUA
rnacentral:lncRNA from 1 species